AAGUCGUAACAAGGUUUCCGUAGGUGAACCUGCGGAAGGAUCAUUAUGUGAGUGAUAGAGGAGAGAUUGUGAAGAGUUGUUUUGUUGGGUGAGCAUGGAGGUGCAUGUGAGCAUGGGAGACCCAUGCAGAGCACGGAUGACGUGGCACUUACAAAACAAGAAAGAUUAUGGGAUAAUAUAAGGAGAUGAAUAAUAAUUUAAUAAUAAUAAUAACUUUUAACAAUGGAUCUCUAGGUUCUU
rnacentral:misc_RNA from 1 species